rnacentral:rRNA from 1 species
CCAGAUCCUACGGGAGGCAGCAGUGGGGAAUAUUGCACAAUGGGGGAAACCCUGAUGCAGCAACGCCGCGUGAGUGAAGAAGUAUUUCGGUAUGUAAAGCUCUAUCAGCAGGGAAGAAGAUGACGGUACCUGAUUAAGAAGCCCCGGCUAACUACGUGCCAGCAGCCGCGGUAAUACGUAGGGGGCAAGCGUUAUCCGGAAUUACUGGGUGUAAAGGGAGCGUAGACGGUUAAGUAAGUCUGGAGUGAAAGGCCGGGGCCCAACCCCGGGACUGCUCUGGAAACUAUUGAACUUGAGUACAGGAGAGGUAAGCGGAAUUCCUAGUGUAGCGGUGAAAUGCGUAGAUAUUAGGAGGAACACCAGUGGCGAAGGCGGCUUACUGGACUGUAACUGACGUUGAGGCUCGAAAGCGUGGGGAGCAAACAGGAUUAGAUACCCCUGUACG